CUCUCCUUCACCAUCAUUGAUUGCUCUCGCUCUGGUCAUCACAGAAAUUCAAGACAAUUCAGACCGACAACAUUGAUGCGAAAAGAGAGUGCCGCCGUCAGGCGCUGUCGGUCUACCUGAACGAAGACCCGGAGAAAGUGGUGAAAGAACGCAUGGACUCUGAUGUUGACAAGGGUUAAGCUGAAACGGAGACUGUCUUCGGAGUAUUUGUGAUUUGCAGAGAAGGUGCAGAAGGUGAUGAUGGUCCAGAGGAUGUGGGCAUCAUUUUGGAGGGGGUAGAAGUUCUCAAUGAGCUGGGUAAUGUACCAGUAGCAGUUGCAAUGCUGUUCACUUUAGUUUAUGCACUCAAUCUCAGCUACCCCCCAGAGUGGAAAUACAUUUCCGAAGCUCUGCAGAAACUCAUCAUGGGGCUUGAUGGACAGAGGUUGUCUAAGAAACUGCAGGUGCUGAAAACCCUACUUACACAUUAAUAUUUUGUAAGGUAGCUGUCAGAGGUCUUCAACAACGAAUGUAUCCCAGAGUCAUGUUGGGGAGGCAGGUGGGGAGUCAUACAGUCAAUAUUAGUGUUUUAAAAUGACAG